rnacentral:rRNA from 1 species
GAUGAACGCUGGCGGCGCGCCUAACACAUGCCAGUCGAACGAUUAAAGCACCUUCGGGUGUGUAUAAAGUGGCGAACGGCUGAGUAACACGUGGGCAACCUGCCCCUCUCAUUGGGAUAGCCACGGGAAACCGUGGAUAAUACCGAAUACUUCGGGACUUCCGCAUGGAAGACUCGAGAAAGCUCCGGCGGAGAGGGAUGGGCCCGCGGCCUGUUAGCUUGUUGGUGGGGUAAUGGCCUACCAAGGCAAUGAUGGGUAGCUGGGUUGAGAGACCGACCAGCCAGAUUGGGACUGAGACACGGCCCAGACUCCUACGGGAGGCAGCAGUGGGGAAUCUUGCACAAUGGGCGAAAGCCUGAUGCAGCGACGCCGCGUGCGGGAUGAAGGCCUUCGGGUUGUAAACCGCUUUCAGCAGGGACGAGGCGAAAGUGACGGUACCUGCAGAAGAAGCCCCGGCUAACUACGUG